ensembl:miRNA gga-mir-1725 gga-mir-1725
UGCAACAUGCAGCUUAUAACUAUCCUACUAGAGAUAAGGAUAAAGUAUGAUAUAGUUAGAGCUGCUGCA